CUCUCGGCAGGGCCCGCCCUGGCCGCCCCGGGGGCCUCGGUGGCCGUGGCCGGGGCCGGGGCAGUGGCUGAGGUAGCGGCGUCCUCUCCGGCCGCGGGUGCGGCGAGGCUUGGCANGGGCGCUGGGGCGUCGGCGAGGCCCUCGGNAGGUGGCCUAGGCCGGCCUGCGUCUUCACCGUCGUCCUGUCCUGGGGUCCCCGAGCAUAGUGGCUGUGCCUUCGCCUUCUCGGCCGGCUGCGUCGCUUCUUCCCGGUCUGCCGGGGCUGCGGCCACCUCUGCCAGCCCUCCCUGAGACUUGGUGGCCACUAUGUUGCCACCUGGCUCCUCGGCGUCAGUGGCUUCCACGCCGUCACAGCUGUCACCUUCCGAGCUGGGUGCAGCGCGGCUACUUCGAGCUGAAGGCCAUGUCUACACAUCAUAAGAAGGUGGAGGAGGAAACCCCAUUAGGCUAACAUCCAUCCAAGCAGCAUCAUACUGUCAGACCACCUCGCGUUGUGCUAUUAACCUCCUGGCACACAACUGCCAAGCUAACAGACGGCUCUCACUCCUGAGGCGGCAAGACUUCGCAUGCACUAAGAAAGUAGUCUCUUGUAGCACAGACUACUUUUGAAUUCACUCUGUAGCUGGGGGUGACCUUGAACGCCUCCUCUUCUUGCCUCCACAGCAUCCUGUGUCCUGGUAGAACGUCUUGAAUGUGACUGAGGUGCCUACAGCACUAUCCAACAACACUGGGUGAUGGCAGGGCCAGCUUCCUAGAGCCGAAUAGUGACUGGAGAAGGUGUGGGCUCUAGUGGGUAAGUGGUAAAAGUCAGCGAGGUACAUAAAGGGCAGUGACACUGAGUUCCCGAGUAACAACAGCAUUGCCACACACCCUGCCUGAAGAUCUGGGAGAUCAAGGAGAAGGGGAUGGUUCCAGACAGUAUCUUGAUAAGGCUCAUGCAAGACUCAAGCACACUAUUUAAGUGAAGAUGACUUGGAACUCCUGAUCCUCUUGUCUCCCAGUCUUCUUG
rnacentral:lncRNA from 1 species